rnacentral:rRNA from 1 species
UACGUAGGGGGCGAGCGUUGUCCGGAAUCAUUGGGCGUAAAGCGCGUGUAGGCGGCUUGGUAAGUCCGGUGUGAAACCUUGGGGCUCAACCCCAAGCCUGCACUGGAUACUGCCUCGCUUGAGUCCGGGAGGGGAGAGCGGAAUUCCUAGUGUAGCGGUGAAAUGCGCAGAUAUCAGGAGGAACACCGGUGGCGAAGGCGGGUCUCUGGGCCGAUACUGACGCUGAGGAGCGAAAGCGUGGGGAGCGAACAGG